UACGGAGGGUGCAAGCGUUAUCCGGAUUCACUGGGUUUAAAGGGUGCGUAGGCGGGCUGGUAAGUCAGUGGUGAAAUCCCCGAGCUUAACUUGGGAACUGCCGUUGAUACUAUCAGUCUUGAAUACCGUGGAGGUGAGCGGAAUAUGUCAUGUAGCGGUGAAAUGCUUAGAUAUGACAUAGAACACCAAGUGCGAAGGCAGCGCACUACACGAAUAUUGACGCUGAGGCACGAAAGCGUGGGGAUCAAACAGG
rnacentral:rRNA from 1 species